CCUACGGGAGGCAGCAGUCGAGAAUCUUUCACAAUGGGGGAAACCCUGAUGGUGCGACGCCGCGUGGGGGAAUGAAGGUCUCCGGAUUGUAAACCCCAGUCAUGUGGGAGCAAAUUACAAAGCUUGUACCACAAGCGGGAGAGAAGGCUAACCCUGUGCCAGCAGCCGCGGUAAUACAGCGGGCUCAAGCGUUGUUCGGAAUCUCUGGGCGUAAGGGGUGCGUAGGCUGGUGCGUAAGUCGUGUGUGAAAGGCGCGGGCUCAACCCGCGGACGGCACCUGUUACUGCGAGACUGGAGUAAUGGAGGGGGAACCGGAAUUCUCGGUGUAGCAGUGAAAUGCGUAGAUA
rnacentral:rRNA from 1 species